GAGGGGGGAACGGAGACGUUUUACAGAGGAUAAUGAAAUUUACAAAGAAGAGAGAAGCCGGGGAGAGGCGUUCCCCUGACAGCUCCUCUGAGGGAGCCCGGGGAGCAGCCCCUCAGGCCGCCCACACCCCCGACCCCCCCACCUCGCCGGUUCCCUGCUUCCCUCGGUCCCGAGGCGUGUUAAGGCAGGGUGCGCAUCCUUUCCUGAGUGUUUGGACAACACCAGGGACAUCGUGGAGCCAUAGGAUGAGGGGUAAUGGUUUUAAACUGAAAGAGGGUAAAUUUAGAUGAAAUAUAAGAACUUCUUUGCUGUGAGGGUGGUGAGAGCCUGGCCCAGGUUGCCCAGAGAAGCUGUGGCUGCCCCAUCCCUGGAGGGGUUCAAGGCCAGGUUGGAGGGGGCUUGGAGCAACCUGGUCUGGUGGGAGG
rnacentral:lncRNA from 1 species